GAUUCUGUAGUGUAGUUGAUAGCAAACCUGUCCGACAAAUAGGAAUUGCAAGCUCGAAUUCUGCCGGAGUCG
rnacentral:tRNA from 1 species